rnacentral:rRNA from 1 species
UACGUAGGGUGCGAGCGUUAAUCGGAAUUACUGGGCGUAAAGCGUGCGCAGGCGGUUCGUUGUGUCGGCGGUGAAAGCCCCGGGCUUAACCUGGGAAUGGCCGUUGAAACUGGCGAACUGGAGUGUGGCAGAGGGGGGUGGAAUUCCGCGUGUAGCAGUGAAAUGCGCAGAUAUCAGGAGGAACACCGGUGGCGAAGGCGGGACUCUGGGCCGAUACUGACGCUGAGGAGCGAAAGCGUGGGGAGCGAACAGG